AUUUGCCUCUGGAGGUCUUGACGACUGUUCCAAGGCUGAUGCAGGGAGCCAUGAUGGAGCUAAUCAGACCUGCUGAGGGAAUGCAGAGAAAGGGAAGGAGCCCCAUGGGGUAGGGGCACCAGACAAGGCCUUCCAAGGGCUUUGUGCUAGGCAAUAAAAAGGGAUUUAAAAAGGUACAAGAGGCAUGAUAUUUGCUCUCCCAGAGUUCCUGAGUGAGGCAGUAUGUGCUCAACAGUGCCAGGCAA
rnacentral:lncRNA from 1 species